rfam:Triticum aestivum genome assembly, contig: Triticum_aestivum_CS42_TGACv1_scaffold_376837_5AL
GGUCAUGUGGCUCAGUUCGUUAGAGUGUUGGUCUGAUAUACCAAAGGUCACGGGUUCAAGCCCCGUUGGGACCA